rnacentral:rRNA from 1 species
CGACCGGCGCACGGGUGCGUAACGCGUAUGCAACCUACCUUUAACAGGGGGAUAACACUGAGAAAUUGGUACUAAUACCCCAUAAUAUCAUAGAGGGCAUCUUUUAUGGUUGAAAAUUCCGAUGGUUAGAGAUGGGCAUGCGUUGUAUUAGCUAGUUGGUGGGGUAACGGCUCACCAAGGCGACGAUACAUAGGGGGACUGAGAGGUUAACCCCCCACACUGGUACUGAGACACGGACCAG